rfam:Arabis alpina cultivar Pajares Aa.chr4_contig_34, whole genome shotgun sequence.
GUUCCCUAUGAUGGUUUAACCAUGCUAAUACUGAUCUCUUAUGAAUGAGUCAAUGUUCAGUUUCUGAGGGAAUC